GUAGGUGGCAAGCGUUGUCCGGGAAUUAUUGGGGCGUAAAGCGCGCGCAGGCGGUUCUUUAAGUCUGAUGUGAAAGCCCACGGGCUCAACCGUGGAGGGUCAUUGGAAACUGGAGGACUUGAGUACAGAAGAGGAAAGCGGAAUUCCACGUGUAGCGGUGAAAUGCGUAGAGAUGUGGAGGAACACCAGUGGCGAAGGCGGCUUUCUGGUCUGUAACUGACGCUGAGGCGCGAAAGCGUGGGGAGCAAACAGGAUUAGAUACCCUGGUAGUCCACGCCGUAAACGAUGAGUGCUAAGUGUUAGGGGGCUUCCGCCCCUUAGUGCUGCAGCUAACGCAUUAAGCACUCCGCCUGGGGAGUACGGCCGCAAAGGCUG
rnacentral:rRNA from 1 species